GGUCCUCGUGCGUCCGCCCCGCUGGAGCGGGAGCCUCGGUCUUCCGAGGCCGGCGGGUUGCCCGGUGCCGGAGGCUCCUCCCUGAGUCUACCUUCUCCGUAGGUGACUCUGGGUGAAAUUGGGGCUCGUUUCCGGAGCGCGGGCCUGAGGGGUCUGGAGGAGAGGCCGGGAGGCCAGGUGGAGGCUGUUAGAGAAGCCAAGGCAAGAGAUGAGGGACACUAACCCGGGGCGCAAAUCUCCGGAAAGAUGGGCCCGGGAUAGACUCAGGAUGUGGAAUAGGCAGCGGUGGGGACCGCUGGACGCGGGGCACGAGGGAGGGGGCGACGGACGGGACAGGGAGGAACACGGCGGGGUGGGAGGCCGGGCUGAGUGUUGGCCGCGCCCAGCUGUCUGCAACAGUCAGAUGAAACGCCUGUGAUCGCGUAUCCUCUCUACCCAAACACGAGUCAGUUGUGAAAGCGGUGAGGGCAGAGAUUCAGAUUCUUGAAUUCCAGUGAAGCCAUCCACCAUCUCUUGCCUUUUUGGCAAAAAAAGUUUCUAAGUUUAAUUGAGCCCUGAGAUGUGCCAGGCACCAUUCCAAGCACCUUUCGUGUAUUCACUAGUUUAAUCUUGGUAACACCGUAUCAAGUGGGUACCUUUAGCCCCACUUCAUGCAUUAGGAAAGUAAGGUACAGAGACGGUCAGCAUCUUGCCAAGUUCGCGCCAGGGGUAAUGGGGCCAGAAUUUGAAUUCAGGUAUGCUUUGCCAACAAGCUGAAUUUUAAGUGAGUUUUUGUACUUUCUCAAUUUUAUCGCAUGUUGGUGUCCAGAAGAAAUUGUCUUUCCCAGCUCUGCAAGUUUCUACAUUUCUGGAUUCUUUAAUUCCUUUCAUUCUUGCCUGCAAACCAAGCUCAUUUCUGGCCAAAUGCAGCCAGGAACAAAGGACACCUAAAUUUAAGAAGCAAAUAGAUAUGCAAGAACUCAAGGCCAGUCAAAAGGGGAGGAAAGGAAAGAGACUAACGAAAGAAUGUCAGAGUACAUCGUGCAACUGAGAGGAAAUCUGAAGUGUCUACUGUACACAAGUCAGGAGACACUCAUGAAUUCAGGAGAGAAAUUUCACUAGAGCAUGGGCGAGAGGGAAGGGAGUGCAGAGCUGAGGAAGGAACAGGACAAGGAAUAGUGGGGAAUGUAGUCAACUCUUCAAAAGGCUGAGAAAGGAAGGAGGUCAGAGGGGUACAAGAUGAAGGGGAAAUAUUUUAGUAAGACUGAACAUGUUCACAGGCUGAAGGCAGGCAGCUAACCAGGAAGCUGAAGAUAAGAGAGAAAAAAGUGCUAGUCCUGGAGGCAGUGAGAAGGCCUGAGGUUAAGAGCAAAGGUGGGGACAGUGUGGGGGGGGGUUGAAAAGUAGGGGCGAGUUUCAUUUUCUAAAUCUAUAUGGAAGGCUAUAAGGAUGGGAGCUGAAGGGGCCCAGGGACAACUGACCAGGUGACUCACCUCAAGCACUCCUUGGACCCACAUGUAGCAGUUAGCGGGUUUAUUUCCAGGCAGAUACAGUCAGAGACAAGAUGACGUCCCACACGGCUGGUGGUACCCACAUACAGAGGACCAGUGCUGAGGCAGCAGUUUGGCCUCUCCUCUACUCUUACUAAAAGCAGCGUAUGGUGCGACAUGCAGCAGCAGCCACGGCUACUCCAAGUGGGCUGGGCAGACAGAUGCAACAGACGCCCUAACAGCAUGUCUUAGUCACGAAAGAAGUGCCCAAUAAAGACUAAAUAUUUGAGGAAUGCCAUCUCCAUGAAAGUGAGAUAGUGCCUGCGACAAACAGAACUCGGAACUAAGGGGGGAAAGUGAGAGAGCUAUUGGAGUAAGUUUUCAAUAGAGUGGCUGCUCUGCAUAUCACCACAGACACGAGCUGAUGAAGUCUCCUGACAGCGCCAUCCGCCUCUUCAAGUGAAGCAGGAGGCCUCCCCGCACCGAGUUCCCUUCCCUUCUCCACUCUGAAGUAUCACCGUCUUGAGGGCCAAACGGCAUGGUUUUUUACUUCAGCAUCAAAUAUGACUUACGAAGAUGCUUUUGUAUCUUCUCCUUUCUGCUCCGAGAACCUCUCCUGGCCGGUCUUCAUGGGCAGGAUCAAGAUGAUAUGAAUGCUGGUUAUUCCGUUACUGCCGCCACGCUGACCAGUCUGGCCAGGCAUGCGGCAAGCACACUGGAUGCCACCUGCAUCUGCUUCUCCAUCGAGAGCCUGGUGCUCACCAGGAACACAGGGCUUCUCUUCCCAGACGCUGACUCGAGGCUGAAACCUCUGAGGACGAGGCUCUUUCUCCACAGCGCCGCGCCCAGCUUCUGGCUCCCAGCGUCCUCCUGGUGAGGGGAGGCAGGCAUGCGGGUGAACAGGGCUGCCGAGGUGGGAACGUAUUUUCAAAGAGAGCUGUCUGACAACGAGCGGUUUAAGAGACCAAAUCAUCCUUCCCGCAAGCACCAGGCAGCGCACGGGAAGCAGCAGUUGUGGGGAAGGAGCGGGCUGACACUGAGGUGCCAAAAACCCAACACAGACAAGUGUGUCCUGCCCGGCCAGGGAGACCUGACAGGCCUCACACAGGGGUCUGAGCAGGGAAAGGACAUUCCUGGAUGUGAACUGUGGGGAGAGCAGGUGAGGAGCCAGGCCGCACAGGCUCGCAGUCUCUCCUGCGGCUGCCCUGCCCAGCACCUGUCCCGGCCUGUGGGGCACGGGGCCUGGCCGGGGUCUCUCCCCCAGCACUGGGGACCCUUGGGACAUGGACUGUUUCUUCCAGCCGGCCACAAGAUUUUAAAAAACAAAAAACAAACAAAAAACCACAGUGAAUUUACCGGAAGAAUUCCAGCCCAGUGAAUUUGGCAAUGAAAAUGAAGCCUAAAAUGGAUUCUAAGAGGUUAUGUUAGUUCUCUAUACAGUUUAACAUGAAUAAACAGACAUUCUUAACAAUGCAAGGCCCCCAAAUGCCUCCAUCACUGGAUUUUUAAAAGAACUUCUUUCAAACCACAAUUCUUUAAAUAAAUCAACUUUGGCACCCCAUGGAAACCCAGGGCAUGGGUGGUAACUUCAAUGGGCGAUAAGCACUCCUUUGAGUUGGCCCCUCCAAUCUGUUGGAUUUUAGUUUGUUUGAGGCAAGAUUAUAUGAGGGAGAAAAGGGGUGCGACAGGUUUUCUCAUUUUCCAAGUUCCUCUCUGGCAGAGCAAAAGCAAAACACUAUUUUACUAAGACUAUAUAUUAGGAUUUUACUAGACACACUAUUUUUUGAAGAAUGAUGAACUUGUAGGAGACCUGAUUUUCCAAGAAUAAACACUUUUAAGUGGAUGAAAGCGAAACAAUCCUGGAACAGACAGUCCUAGCCAGGAACAGGCCUUGUUAAAGCUGCAACUGGUGGCUAACAUCUUGUUGGACUUUUUAUAUGAAGAAAGUUCUGUUUGAUUUGAUCAUCAAAUCAGCAACAAGCCGGAUGCAAACAGGAAUUCGGUCUUUUCUCACAGCAGGUCUUUAAAGAAGGAAAGGUGGGGGUAACAGAGCAACCCAGGAACAGGGCUUUGUCCCCUGAAGGCACGCAGUACGUCUUGGUGACCACCACUGCUUCUGGGACUUGCCCCCCGAGGUUUUUGUUGCUAAGGUCCUGGGCCCAGCAGCAGGACUGUUCCAUCUGCGUCUGCUGUCCUGAGAAAAAGACAUGCCAGCCCUGCCACCAGACGUCCUGAGAGUGGGCCUGGGACUCUGCUGAGACCUACCUGGCUGUGGCCAAGUCACAGGGAAGGACACGGCUGCCUUCUGCACCUGUGAAAUCUUUCUAGACAAGCAUUCAAGUCCCCAGGAAUGUACCUACGGGCAGAAGGAAACAGGCAUGGACACUCUGGAACAUUUAAACUGCAAAUACUAAGGUAUGUGCUCCUUUUAAAGACUGUAUAUUCAAAACACUAUAGUACCGCGAACAGUCUGCAUACUAUGCAGUUUUUACAUGAACUUUUUCAUUUCUGUACUGCGGCAUCUUCUCUAGCAGGUGCACACGCUGACCGAAUCUCAGGUUGGUGCAAACCACGCCAGCAGGCCUCUAAGGCUCUCAGGACUUGGAGGUAAGGACAAGCAAGGCAGGGCGUCCUGCGAAGUUAACCAAAACCCAAGAUGCUGCCCCUGGGGACCACGUCCUGCAACAACCCAAAUACAGUGGCUGGAGAGCACACAUGAGGAGUGGGGCCAGGGCUGCAGGGCAAGGAGGCACACAGCUGAGAGAUCAGCAUUCAGCAUCCGAGGAACAUUCACCCUGGCUCCACAGAAAGACUGCAGAGGUAGCUUGCAGGUGUUGUGUUUGAAGGACUAUAAGAGGGGAGACGCGACUUUUCCCUUGAGAGGGCUACCCUUCAGCUGUCCCUUCCAAGUAUGCUUGAAAAACAUGCAGCUGACACGUCAAAUUCGAAGCAGUCGAGUCAUGGGGACCCGAAUGAACGUCAGAGCCAUCACGUCCCCCAGGCCUGCUCCACCCUUCUCUGCUCCAGGGCUGGCCUUGUUGGCUGGGCAUCCCCACCCCCUGGUAGAUCAGAAAUCAUCAACUAUCACUAGGUUGCGGGGCACACAAUCACAGCCAGAAUGUCAGUUUGGCCUAAAAGUGGGAAAGAGACCCCAAGAAACCCAAAGUCCUGGAAGUCAGGGUCCUGCAGCCAAAAGGUGCCAGAGGCCCCCCGGCCAAGCACCCAGCCCAGCACCGGGGGUCACAGAGAUGGGCCGGGCUAGGUGUGCGCCUUAGCAACGUGGGAGGGGCAGGGAGGCAGACACCUGUGAGGGACUGCCAUGGGACGGAAAGGGACGACCCAGCUGUGGGGAAAUGUCUUUUUUUUCCUUUAAUUUAAAUUUUUAAAAAAUUUUAUUUUGGGGGGUGGUAAUAAUUAGGUUUAUUUAUUUAUUUUAAUGGAGGUACCAGGGAAAGGGGAAAUGUCAUUUUUGAAGAAUUACUUGAUCCCUGAGAAGAAAAGUAUCUUUCUAUUGUGUGAGGUCAGUAUUAACAAUGGACAUGAUCCCUUUCAGUCUGGUCUGGGGGAGGCAGUCUUACCUCCAUCACACGCCUCCACUUAACACCGGGCACUGCCUUCCUUCCUCCACCUCCAUUCGCACCUCAGGGUGCAGCCUGGGACUGCUGGGACAGCUGAGAUGGGAGAUGACUUGGCUGGAGUUGGCAGACAGCAGUGUGCCCUGGCUCGCAGGGGCACGAAUCAGGCGUGUGGGUGGCCAGCUGUUGCUCUCCUGACCCCCGAGCAGAGGACGGCCCUAAGGCCAGCUGGCGAGCUCCUGUGACACUGGGCAGCACUCCAACUAAAAGCACGUGAACUGGAGCACUGUUCUCAGGCCUGGAGAGGUGGGUAUUACUGUGCCCAACAGGCCCUGAGACACUGAGAUGCCAGCGAGCCCUGAUCCAGGCCCUGCCUUCCUACUCUGUGCACCAGAGGUGUGGCCCAGCAGCAGGGGUCACCCUCCAGCCGAAAGGGCACAAUCCCUGAUUACCAAUGGGAAGUGGGGCCCCAUAUUCCGCCCCUGCCGAUCUCCAGGACAAACUGAUCUCAUAAUCAGAGAUUGUGUAAUAAAUUAAGAAAAACACACAAGACCAGGGAGAUGGCAGACUGGGGGGAAUUCAGAGGUCUACGGAGGCUGCCAGUUAAACUUGAGCAGGCAGCAGAUGAAGCCAUACAAACAUUUAUUCUGCACUUGAUCUCACUGGUCCAGACGUCUAAGGCUGGAGUAAAUCCACCUGCCUCUCUUCCAUGUCUUUACCCUGAAGUCACGGGCCUGAAUUGAGGCUGGCGGAUGCUGCUGCUGAUUCCUAGCUCUCUGGGACUUACCCUAGACAGGCCUGGGGCCAGAGCAAGCUCAGAAGGCCACAGGUACAGUCUCUGGCAUCAGACAUGUUUGGGCUGAUUCCUGAGGUCUCGCUCCCAUGCCCCAAAACAUGAGGAUCUGGCUUAUGAGCCCCUGACCCCUGCAGAAACACCAGGCCCCUGGCUGGAGUGGCCUCCAACCUAUUUCCUCUGGGCAGCAUGUGAGGAAGGGCUCCCUGCACCCUUUUUUUUUUUUUUUAAAUCAUCCAGAUCUAGGUUCAAAGGAUCCUGAAACUUCUUUGCCCCAUCUGGACCUGAAAACAAGAGCUGAUUUUUAAAAGCCAAAUUUUCAUUGCAUUUGGACAGAAUGAAUAAUGUGUUUUUCAUAUUUUCUUUGUAUUUCUCUUCAAUAGUUGCAUGACCCAACAUCUUUCUGUCUGCUCUAUACAAUGAAAAUACAAACUAAAUGAGGAUAGAAAAAAUAAUUAAAGCAUUAAGUCGUACAAAUUACAAAUCUGUUCCAAAAUAUACUUACAUUAAAUAAAAUACGCAUUUCAGUAAGA